UGUGUGUGUGUGUGUGUGUGUGUGUGUGUGUGUACACACACACACACACACAUAUAUACACACAAA